rnacentral:rRNA from 1 species
UAAAACGUAGGAGGCGAGCGUUAUCCGGAGUUACUGGGCGUAAAGCGCGUGCAGGCGGCAGGACAAGUGGCGGGUGAAAGCGCCCGGCUCAACCGGGCGAGUGCCGGUCAGACUGUUCUGCUGGAGUACCGGUGAGGGACGUGGAAUUCCGGGUGUAGCGGUGAAAUGUGCAGAGAUCCGGAGGAACACCAGCGGCGCAAGCGGCGUCCUAGACGGAAACUGACGCUGAAACGCGACAGCGUGGGGAGCGAACGGGAUUAGAGACCCCGGUAGUCCACGCCGUAAACGAUGCCAACUCGAUGUCGGGGCUGCGAAAGCAGUUUCGGUGUCUUAGUUCACGCGAUAAGUUGGCCGCCUGGGGAGUACGGUCGCAAGGCUA